UCUCAUUACCCUCCUGUCCAAAACAACUGUGGAUGCAGUAAUCGAUGCUAUCAAGCAUUUAAUUCAAGAGAGCAUCUCAGCAGACAUCAAAAAAGCCGGAAUGUAUUCUGUGCAGCUCGACACAACACAAGAUGUUACAGGGAGAGAGCAGUGUUCUGUGAUUUUGAGGUUUGUGACGGAUGCAGUCCAUGAAAGGCUGGUUGCAGUCGUACAAUGCAGCACAACUACAGGACAGUCGUUUGUGACGCUGUUAACAGAAGUCCUUGAGAGUCUGCAAUUGGACAUAGGCCUGUGCAUUGGAAACGCCACAGAUGGAGCCUCUAAUAUGCAGGGUCAAUACAGAGGUUUCUCUGCAUUAAUGGCAUCCAAAAACCCCACCCAUCAGCAUGUGUGGUGCUAUGCACAUGUCUUGAACCUUGUAUUGUCCGAUACCACCCAUAGCGUCAUUGAAAGUGGAUCACUAUUUGACCUGCUGAACGACAUUGCCGUAUUCAUCAGGGACUCAUACACAAGAGUGAGUGUGUGGGAGACCGAGAGCCAGGACAAGAGGCACAAACGCAUCUCAACAAUUGGAGAGACGAGAUGGUGGGCUAAACAUCAUGCCCUGAGGAAAGUUUUUGGAAACUUUGGCAGACCUGAUGGCGGCCUUUUUGUUGAAGUGGUGUCCACACUUUCUGCCAUAAUGAAGCUGAAGUCACUUGCAUCAAAUGCAAGAAACAAAGCCAGAGGAUACAGAGACGGCUUACUUCGAUACGAAACUGUGCUCACAGCUCAGUUAUUCCUCCGGGUAUUUGAGUUCACCUCACCACUGUCAAAAUACCUACAGACCGGAGGAAUGGACAUCCUCUCUGCACAUAGGAUGGUCACCACAACACACGAUUCACUUACAAAGAUAGCAAGAGAUUUCCCGGCCGUCAAAGAUGCAGCUGACUGUUUUGUCCAUUGGGCAAAUGAAAAGCUAGAGGAGCAGGAUGAUCUAGAUUUGGAAGUGGAGGCAGCACUACCUCAGAAAAGGCUAAAGAAGAAGAAAGUCUUGCCAGGAGAGAUGGCCCAGGAUGAAAGCCUCAGUGAUUCAGAGAAGGCCUAUGAGGUCAAUGUUCACCACCAGAUCCUGGAUACAGCUGUUGAGGCCAUGCACCACAGAUUCCUCACUCAUGGCACUCUGUAUGCAGAUUUAUCCCUCCUACAUCCCAAAAACUUCCCCCUCAUCCAGACCAGUGGCGGUGCACUCCCUGUAUCUGCACUUCAAGAACUCAGCAAGUGUCUAGUUGUGUAUGACAGCAGGGCAACUGUUACAGAUCUACAGAUUGAACUCAGAAACUUGGCACAGCAAUGGGACAGGCUGGUACAAUCACAAUUGGAUAACUACGCAACUAAAGCAGUUGAAGAGGAAUCAGAUGGCCAAGAAGAGAUGGAAAUAAUAAGCAAAACCUGUGUGUCUUGCAAAGAGUGCCCCCUGUGCUGCUACAAAAUCCUUCUCAGGUUUAACAUGCUGACUCACGCAUAUCCGCUACUUGGGUUGGCAUACAAGUUUCUGCUAACCCUGUCAAUAACUCAGGUAGCCUGUGAGCGGUCAUUUUCCACCCUUCGCUACAUCAAAAACCGACUGAGGAGUUGCCUGUCUGCCAGCAAACUGGAAGCCUUCAUGUUGAUGGCCAUUGAAAAGGAUGUCCUUGUGUCCCUUGAAACUGACACAGUGAUUGACAGAGUUGCAGAGAAGAGCGAAUCAAUGAAGAAACUGCUUUUAUAAGGUGAGAUUUAUGAUAAAUAAAUACAUUUGUGUUAAAUUAGUGGAUUUAAUAAAAAAUGUUGACAGAAAAUAAUGUUGUUAUUGCUUUGCUCUCUGCUCUCCUCCUCUCUCAGGGUGCCCUUGCUGUUUUCAGUUGCUCAAGUUCCUGCUCAUCCAAUUUCAUUGCCUUGCUACAUAUUUGUUCUUGUGGACUAUUGGAGGGCCAUUCAACAUUUUCUCAACCAGUAUGUAUAUCAGACUGUUGUCUAGCUCUAUUUAUUUUUUUAGUCAUCAGUCCUGUCCUGCUAUAAUGCAAUUGGUUUGUAUCACUCACUUUUUGUGUCUGUCAAACUCUUUUUUUUAAGGCUGCCCUGUCCCCCAGGGGUGUUCCAGGGAUGUGCAUUUCAUUGGUGUGGACUUCACAGGCAUUCUUCAAAUUUGUAAGUUUACAAUACUGUUGUUUUGUGUUCUUGCUGGCAUCCACCUGGAUGGUCAUAAAGCCUACUACUUUUACAGAGUGACUGUAAUGAAUGCAACUAUCCAUUAUUGUAUUACUUUAAAGACACCAAUACUAUCAAUGUAAAUUUUUUGAAACAUUCAAAUUUUCACUGUUCUCUUGACCCACCUGGCCUCUCUUUCUCUCCCCUUAGGUAAUUUUUGGAGUGAAGGAUUGCCUUCCCCUGAUGUGGAGUUCACGUGUGUUCUUUUUGUUUCAUUGUGAGUUUACUAAAUAGCUCUUAUUUUGAUUAUAGAAGAGACAGUAUCAGAUGAAUCUAUCAUAUCUGACUGCUCCUUUCUGUCUCCCUCAGAGCACCAAGGUCCAUGCAGCCUUUUGUCUCAGCAUAUGGUGCCACUUUGACUUACUGUGUUAUAAUUUGGUGUGUUCUAGUUAGUGUAAAUAAGAUAAUACAUAUAUUGUGUAUACUUCCUGUUGUUGUUGUUCUCUGUUCUUGCAUUUUUUGCUGACUGUGAGACGGUUCAAACUGUACAUAUUAUAAGCAUUAGUCAUUUCAGAGGAGAUUUGACCUAGCUGCAAAACCUCCAUUGUGCCCAAAUACAAAUGCAGAACCCUCUCUUCUUCAAAGUCCUGUAAUCUGCCUUGUUUUUUUGAGUGUAAACAUUUUGUAAGCGUCUAAUCACGAGGAUCUAAUAGUUUUUUUAAUCUCCACUCCUGUUUUUACAUGUGGCCAUUGAAAGAACAAAAGGUUAUUUUGGGCUAUUAUAUAAAAGAUUAAAAUUAUGAUCGUACCUAAUUGUUUAAUUUCUAUUUUUAUAAACAAUGUACACGUUUGUAUAAACAGUAUUUUCAUUAAACACUGAAAAGACAUCUCUAGCAAUGUUUCUUUGACAACCACUUUCACUUCAAGAUGGGCAUUGUGGCAUUGUAGCCAUCUCUCCAAAGAUGAAAGUCUCUGUAAGUAUAGUGAAAGAGUGUAUGCAUUUUUCAACAUGGUUACUCUCAUCCAUGUAGGCUACUGCGCUUUAUUUUAAUUGUUGAAACAGCACAAUAUGCGCAUAUAUCCUCUGGUAUGUUGUGUGCCUCCGCAUAUCGUAUAAAUAAUCUUGGUGGGCUGCCAUGGCCAAAAAUGCCAGGGCUGAUUUCUUGUCCCAGUCCAGCCCUGUCUGGAAGGAG